GACGAACGCUGGCGGCGUGCUUAACACAUGCAAGUCGACGGAAAGGCCCUGCUUGCAGGGUACUCGAGUGGCGAACGGGUGAGUAACACGUGGGUGAUCUGCCCUGCACUUCGGGAUAAGCCUGGGAAACUGGGUCUAAUACCGGAUAGGAGCCAUUUUUAGUGUGAUGGUUGGAAAGUUUUUUCGGUGUAGGAUGAGCUCGCGGCCUAUCAGCUUGUUGGUGGGGUAAUGGCCUACCAAGGCGGCGACGGGUAGCCGGCCUGAGAGGGUGGACGGCGACAUUGGGACUGAGAUACGGCCCAGACUCCGACGGGAGGCAGCAGUGGGGAAUAUUGCACAAUGGGCGCAAGCCUGAUGCAGAGACGCCGCGGAGGGGAUGACGGCCUUCGGGUUGUAAACUCCUUUCGCUAGGGACGAAGCUUUUUGUGACGGUACCUAGAUAAGAAGCACCGGCUAACUACGUG
rnacentral:rRNA from 1 species